AGAGUUUGAUCCUGGCUCAGAUUGAACGCUGGCGGCAUGCCUUACACAUGCAAGUCGAACGGUAACGCGGGGCAACCUGGCGACGAGUGGCGAACGGGUGAGUAAUAUAUCGGAACGUGCCCAGUAGUGGGGGAUAGCCCGGCGAAAGCCGGAUUAAUACCGCAUGAGACCUGAGGGUGAAAGCGGGGGACUCGCAAGAGCCUCGCGCUAUUGGAGCGGCCGAUAUCAGAUUAGCUAGUUGGUGGGGUAAAGGCCUACCAAGGCGACGAUCUGUAGCUGGUCUGAGAGGACGACCAGCCACACUGGGACUGAGACACGGCCCAGACUCCUACGGGAGGCAGCAGUGGGGAAUUUUGGACAAUGGGCGAAAGCCUGAUCCAGCCAUGCCGCGUGCGGGAAGAAGGCCUUCGGGUUGUAAACCGCUUUUGUCAGGGAAGAAAUCCUUUGGGUUAAUACCUCGGAGGGAUGACGGUACCUGAAGAAUAAGCACCGGCUAACUACGUGCCAGCAGCCGCGGUAAU
rnacentral:rRNA from 1 species